AGCUGCGUGGCGCAGUGGAAGCGCGGUAAGUUCUUUAAGCUCGCGCACUAAAUUUGACAUUGUACUGACAACAAACAAUAGCCGGGCUCAUAACCCGGAGGUCCUCCGAUCGAAACGGAGCGCAGCUA